ACGAUGACGUGAUCAUUUUGAUCUUAUAUCCCUUUUUAGGUAACCAUCGAUUACCUUACUAAAUUUCAUCGAAAUCCGUUCAACCGUUUAGACGUGAAAGAGCAAAAGUCCCAACAAAAACGACUAAAAAUCACUAACUCAAUUUAGUUAUCUGUCUACUGCCUACCCACUAAGAACGAUGGCGUGAUUAUUUAUAGCCUAUGACCAUUUCUAGGUUAUCAUCUAUCACCAUACCAAAUGUCAUCAAAAUCCGUUCAGCCGUUUAGGCGUGAAAGAGUAACAGACAGACAGAGUUACUUUCGCAUUUAUAAUAUUAAUAUGGAUAAUAUGGAUUGUUAUCAAGCGACAAUUUUUUUUAAUUCCGCACAGGACCAUUCCCGUACCACCGUGCCCGAGUGACGCCUACAACUCUACAACGCAUAGUUAGCCGCCGAGCGGCUUUUCAAAAUUUUUAACUCGUGAUAUCUUUUGAAUGGAAUGUCAGAAUCUAAUAAUUCAAAAAGUUAUAUAAAGGUUAAAUAAUAAAUCAUAUAUUUCGUAAUGAUUAAUACUAAGGUAUAAAUACAGAGCCUUUUCAAGUAGUGGUAUUUUGAUUAAUUUUUUUAUAUAAAAUCGCUUAUUGUGACAAAACUAUAUUAGUUAGAGAUAUGAUGUCGCGACGUUUUUUGUAGAUAAUGAUAAGUUCUACAAAAUUGUAGUACAUCACUUUGUUAUAUUUUCAAUCGUUUUCGCAUCAUUCGCGAUUAAAGAAAGUUUUUUGGUAUUUUUUUUUACAUUAUCGGAAUUUUUCUUAAGGAACCCUAUUUUUUUUAACUAAAUAAGCCUAUGUCACUCAGGGAUAGUAUAGCUUUCCAACGGUGAAAGAAUUUUUCAAAUCGGUUCAGUAGUUUCGGAGCCUAUUCGAGACAAACAAACAAAAAAACAAACCUUUCCUCUUUAUAAUAUUAGUAUAGAAGUAUAGAUAACAAAAAAAAACAAAAAUAUUUUGGGGCUUUCAAUAGCACGUCAAAAUUUCCACGCAUUUCCAAAACAACAUCAAUAACUGCCGUCCCCACAACAAUCUGGCUAUGUACUGUCGACUCGGAAGCAAUUCUCAAAUUAUUUGAGAAUAUUUUCUGUUACAACAACAGCAACUGGAGAUAAAUAAAAGAAAAAACAAUAAAAUAUAGUUUCAAUAUCACAGUUGUUGGUGUAGUAUCAAUGCGGCAUAACGUUGCAGUAUACAAUCAAUUACAGUUCAUUUUAUUAGCCGCAGUAAAAUAAAACGCAAAAUUCUCCUUUUUGACGGCAUAAAAUUUAAUUACAUAUAUUUAUUAAUCGUUGUAUGUGUUUAUAAACUAUAUUUUAUGUGUUUAUAAUAUCUAUCUAGGUAACGUGUAAGCACAUAUACCAUUUUUAUUGUAUAAUAAAUAGUUGUAUAGAAAAUUAUUAUGCAUAUUUGUAUAUAGUGCUUGAUUUUUAUUGCAAUAAUAAAAUUUUGUUAUUAAUUGAUUUAUUUUUAACAAAACUUUUUAACUUACAAAUGCUUAUACUAAUUUUUAAAACAAUAACUACGAUUUUUUUCGAUUUGGCAGAUUUAUUGUUUAUACAGUCCUUGUAAAUACUCAUAAGGCAUAUGUAUAUACUCUAUGUUUCAUUCAGUUAGACUUUUAUAAACUUUUCUUGGAGAGUUUUGAUUUUCAUUUCAUAUUUAGUAUUUGCUUUAAUUAAAUGUUAACUUUCUUUUUCGUAAGCUGUGAAAUUGUUGAAAUGCAUACAUACAAAAUUUAUGUAUGCAUGUAUAAUUUGUAGUGUUCAGUUUUUAGUGUGUAGUAUGUAUAUUCAUUUCGAAAGUACGUUUAUUGUCUUAUGUAAAAUGUAUGAAAGAUGUUAAUGCGCUAAUACGCAUACUUUGUGCAAAUUUGAAUACUUGUAUAAUUAAAAAUUAUGUUG